GACGAACGCCGGCGGCGUGCUUAACACAUGCAAGUCGAACGAUGAAGCCUAGCUUGCUAGGUGGAUUAGUGGCGAACGGGUGAGUAAUACGUGAGUAACCUACCUUUAACUCUGGGAUAAGCCUGGGAAACUGGGUCUAAUACCGGAUACGACCAAUCUCCGCAUGGGGUGUUGGUGGAAAGCGUUAUGUAGUGGUUAUAGAUGGGCUCACGGCCUAUCAGCUUGUUGGUGAGGUAACGGCUCACCAAGGCGACGACGGGUAGCCGGCCUGAGAGGGUGACCGGCCACACUGGGACUGAGACACGGCCCAGACUCCUACGGGAGGCAGCAGUGGGGAAUAUUGCACAAUGGGCGCAAGCCUGAUGCAGCGACGCCGCGUGAGGGAUGACGGCCUUCGGGUUGUAAACCUCUGUUAGCAGGGAAGAAGAGAAAUUGACGGUACCUGCAGAGAAAGCGCCGGCUAACUACGUGCCAGCAGCCGCGGUAAUACGUAGGGCGCGAGCGUUGUCCGGAAUUAUUGGGCGUAAAGAGCUUGUAGGCGGUUUGUCGCGUCUGCUGUGAAGGCCGGGGCUUAACCCCGUGUAUUGCAGUGGGUACGGGCAGACUAGAGUGCAGUAGGGGAGACUGGAAUUCCUGGUGUAGCGGUGGAAUGCGCAGAUAUCAGGAGGAACACCGAUGGCGAAGGCAGGUCUCUGGGCUGUAACUGACGCUGAGAAGCGAAAGCAUGGGGAGCGAACAGGAUUAGAUACCCUGGUAGUCCAUGCCGUAAACGUUGGGCACUAGGUGUGGGGGACAUUCCACGUUUUCCGCGCCGUAGCUAACGCAUUAAGUGCCCCGCCUGGGGAGUACGGCCGCAAGGCUAAAACUCAAAGAAAUUGACGGGGGCCCGCACAAGCGGCGGAGCAUGCGGAUUAAUUCGAUGCAACGCGAAGAACCUUACCAAGGCUUGACAUAUACUGGACCGCAUCAGAGAUGGUGUUUCCCUUCGGGGCUGGUAUACAGGUGGUGCAUGGUUGUCGUCAGCUCGUGUCGUGAGAUGUUGGGUUAAGUCCCGCAACGAGCGCAACCCUCGUUCUAUGUUGCCAGCACGUUAUGGUGGGGACUCAUAGGAGACUGCCGGGGUCAACUCGGAGGAAGGUGGGGAUGACGUCAAAUCAUCAUGCCCCUUAUGUCUUGGGCUUCACGCAUGCUACAAUGGCCGGUACAGAGGGUUGCGAUACUGUGAGGUGGAGCUAAUCCCUAAAAGCCGGUCUCAGUUCGGAUUGGGGUCUGCAACUCGACCCCAUGAAGUCGGAGUCGCUAGUAAUCGCAGAUCAGCAACGCUGCGGUGAAUACGUUCCCGGGCCU
rnacentral:rRNA from 1 species